GAAUUUAAUAUAAAAUUUAUGAACUAUUAAAAAUAAAAAAAAUAUAUUAUAAAAUUUUAUAUUUAGUUGGGGGGAUUGUUAAAUUUUAUAAACUUUAAUUAAAAUAAAUAAUAUUAAUUAAUGAAUUAAGGAAGGAUAAUUUAUAAUUAUAAGAAUUAAUUACCUUAGGGAUAACAGCAUAAUAUUUUUGGAGAGAUCAUAUCGAUAAAAAUUUUUGU
rnacentral:rRNA from 1 species